rnacentral:rRNA from 2 species
UAGGGAAUUUUCGUCAAUGGGCGCAAGCCUGAACGAGCAAUGCCGCGUGAGUGAGGAAGGUCUUCGGACUGUAAAGCUCUGUUGCCGGGGAAAAAGGGCAGAAGCAGGAAAUGGUUUCUGCUGGAUGGUACCCGGCCAGAAAGCCACGGCUAACUACGUGCCAGCAGCCGCGGUAAUACGUAGGUGGCGAGCGUUAUCCGGAAUGAUUGGGCGUAAAGGGUGCGCAGGCGGUCUGUUCAGUCUGAAGGCAAAGGGAUGAGCUCAACUCGUCUUUCAUUCAGAAACUGGCAGACUUGAGGACAGGAGAGGGCGGUGGAACUCCAUGUGUAGCGGUAAAAUGCGCAGAGAUAUGGAAGAACACCAGUGGCGAAGGCGGCCGCCUGGCCUGUGACUGACGCUGAGGCACGAAAGCGUGGGGAGCAAAUAGG